GAGUUUGAUCCUGGCUCAGGAUGAACGCUGGCGGCGUGCUAAUACAUGCAAGUCGAACGGAGGUUGUAGCAAUACGACCUUAGUGGCGAACGGGUGAGUAACGCGUUGGUGACCUGCCCCGAAGUGUGGGAUAACAGCUCGAAAGGGCUGCUAAUACCGCAUGUGAUCCCCCGGAUUAGAGGCCGGGUGAUUAAAGGCGAAAGUCGCUUCGGGAGGGGCCUGCGUCCCAUCAGCUAGUUGGUAGGGUAAUGGCCUACCAAGGCGAUGACGGGUAGGGGACCUGAGAGGGUGGCCCCCCACAAUGGAACUGAAACACGGUCCAUACACCUACGGGUGGCAGCAGUAGGGAAUAUUGGUUAAUGGGCGAAAGCCUGAACCAGCAACGCCGCGUGCGCGAUGAAGGCCUUCGGGUUGUAAAGCGCUUUUUGAGGGGAAGAGGAAGGACGGUACCCUCAGAAUAAGUCUCGGCUAACUACGUGCCAGCAGCCGCGGUAACACGUAGGAGACGAGCGUUAUCCGGAUUUACUGGGCGUAAAGCGCGUGCAGGCGGUUCAGCAAGUUGGAUGUGAAAGCUCCCGGCUUAACUGGGAGAGGUCGUUCAAUACUACUGGACUUGAGAGUGGUAGAGGGAGGUGGAAUUCCGGGUGUAGUGGUGAAAUGCGUAGAUAUCCGGAGGAACACCAGUGGCGAAAGCGGCCUCCUGGACCACUUCUGACGCUCAGACGCGAAAGCUAGGGUAGCGAACGGGAUUAGAUACCCUGGUAGUC
rnacentral:rRNA from 1 species